rnacentral:lncRNA from 1 species
GGUCCUGGUCUUUCAUUCCAUGCCAGGCCGUAGAAUGGGGUCCUGGUCUUUCCUCAGGGACUAUUUGGAUCAUACAGCAUUCACCCACAUCCACAAUAAAGAAUGCAGUGCAACAUAUUCGUGGAUUCUAAUGCAACAACCUAUUAUAUCACAUGGAAUUCGUGAUGCAUGAAUCAUGCUGAAUCAUUUAUUAUUUAUUUUAAAACGUAAAGAGUUAUUCCACUCACCUCUAGUUAGCUCAGACUAGACACUGGGGCAGCUGACUCUCUGCUGGGGUCCUCGGUUCCUCGAGUCCGAACCUACACAGGUGGACUCAAAUGAGGGACCAAACAUCUACGAACAUAACUCUGAAAAUACUCUCCAAAAACCCCCUAAAAAACCUUAAAACAUCCAUAGAAAACAUGCAAAGAAGGGCUGAACAGGGCACUUUCGGCGGCAGGUUCGGCAGCCGAAAGGCCCUCCAGAGCCGAAACUCAUGCACCUUCGGCGGCACUUUCGGCGGCCGAAGGUUCCCUCCAGAGAUGAAACUCAUGCAUGUUCGGCGGCCGAAAGUCCCUUCCAGAGCCGAAAGUCAUCUUUCAGGGGCAAGGUUCGGCAGCCGAUUCAUGCUACCACAGGCAGGUUCGGCGGCCGAAAGAACCUUCGGCUGCCGAACUUGGUUUCUCCCAGAAGGGCAGAAACUCAGCUCAACAUGCAUAAACGCCUCCCAACACAUUCAAUCAUGCAUUUUCCUAUUCUACAACAUGCAUCCUCAAGCAUACAAGCUCCUAGGGGCUUCAAACUAUCCUAAACCCCAUCUACAACACAUCAAACAACCCACAUUGUUCAUAAACAUACAUAAACUCAUAAACAUAACAAUAACCUAUCAUACAUUUCUACCCCAUAGAUCUUCAUAAAAACUAGUUUAAAACAUGCAAGAAAGGUUGGAUCUAAGCUUACCUCUUGAAGAUCGAGAGGAAAGACGAUCCUAGCUUGGAGGUAGGGAGAAAUCCACUCUUUGGUCUCCAAGCUUCCAAACUUGCUCUUUUUGCUCAAAUCUCUUCAAAUCAAUAUAAAGCUUGUUAAAACGUGAGAGAUCGGAGGAAAAACAUCAAAAACGAACCAAAGGAGAGCAUGAACUUACCGUGGCCGAAAAUGGGGAGAAAACUCGCCCGUUUCGGCCAUGGAGCUCUUAUAUAGGGCUGGCAGACCACCUUUCGGCAGCCGAACGUGCCCUCACAUCUCAUGCAAGUUCGGCGGCCGAACAUGAGGUUCGGCAGCCGAACCUUUUGAGACUUUCGAAAGCCUAACAUGCCCCCUAAACCAUCCCACGUUCGGCGGCCGAACUUGAGGUUCGGCGGCCGAACCUGGAAAUGCCUCCUUGGUCUUUUUCAUACAAAACUCAAUUUCCUUUUCACUUAAAACAUAAAAUACAUUAAAACAUUUUAUGAAAACAUGGUUUUACCCUUCUAGAGGUUUCCGACAUCCGAGAUUCCACCAGACGGUAGGAAUUCCGAUAUCGUAGUCUAGCCGGGUAUUACAUUCUUCCCUCCUUGAGAACAUUCAUCCCCGAAUGUUGACCAAACAGCACAUGCAUAGCAUAAAACAUAAACAUUCAUACAAAGCACAUAAAACUCACCUUAGAAGAGAUGAGGAUAUUGCCGGAGCAUGGACUCCCGUGUCUCCCAAGUACACUCUUCGAUGUUGUGGUGAUUCCAAAGGACUUUCACCAUCGGGAUUUCCUUGUUUCUUAGCUUUCUGAUCUGGGUGUCUAGGAUCCGUACUGGCUGCUCAACAUAGGUUAGAUCCUCUUGGAUCCCCACAUCAGGCUCACUAAGAACCUUGCCCGGAUCUGACACGAACUUUCUUAACAUAGAAACAUGGAAAACCGGAUGGAUUCUCUCCAUCGAAGCAAGUCCAGCUUGUACGAUACAUUCCCAAUCUUUUGCAAGACUUCAAAGGGUCCAAUGUACUGUGGAGCUAGCUUACCUUUCUUCCCAAACCGAAUCACCCCUUUCUUUGGAGACACCUUGAGCAAUACCAAAUCUCCCUCCUGAAACUCCACUUGCCUUCUGCGGAUAACUGCAUAACUCUUAUGUCUGCUUGUAGCAGUCUUGAUCCUUUCUCUGAUUAUGGGCACCACUGUGCUGGUGAUCUCUACUAGCUCAGGCCCUGCCAAGGCCUUUUCUCCUACUUCUUCCCAACAGACAGGCGACCUGCACUUCCUUCCAUACAAAGCUUCAUAUGGGGCCAUCCCUAUGCUGGCAUGAUGGCUGUUAUUGUAGGCAAACUCCACUAAAGGUAGAUGCUGCCUCCAAGAACCGCCAAAAUCCAACACACACAUUCUGAGCAUAUCCUCUAUUGUCUGGAUGGUCCUCUCUGAUUGUCCGUCCGUUUAUGGAUGGAAAGCAGUGCUAAAAUCCAACCUGGUACCCAUAGCGUUCUGCAGACUCCGCCAAAACCUGGAGGUGAACUGGGGCCCUCUAUCAAACACUAUUGAGACAGGAACCCCAUGCAACCUAACAACCUCAUCAACAUACACCUGCGCUAACUUGUCCACAGAAUAGCCACUCUUGACAGGGAUGAAGUGAGCAGAUUUGGUGAGUCUGUCCACAAUCACCCAUACGGAGUCCAAUCUGUUGGACGCCGUCGGUAGCCCCACCACGAAGUCCAUAGCUAUAUUCUCCCAUUUCCACUCUGGAAUAGGUAGUGGGUUAAGCAUUCCAGCCGGCUUCUGAUGUUCCAGCUUCACCCUCUGACACACUUCGCAGGCUAACACAAACUGUGCCACUUCUUUCUUCAUAGCUGGCCACCAAUACACUUUCUUCAAAUCUUGAUACAUCUUGGUGGCUCCAGGGUGAACACUGUACCUGGCAUUAUGAGCCUCUCUCAUAAUGUCUCCCUUUAGCCCUAUGUCAUCUGGUACACACAAUCUGCUCCCAUAGCGGAGGAUCCCCUUAUUGUCGAAUCUGAACUCACUAUCUUUGCCUGACUGAACAGUCCUGGCAAUCUUCACUAACUCUGGGUCCUCAUGCUAUUUCUGAGCCACCUGCUCCAGAAACACGGGUGCCACUCUCAUCUGGGCAACUAAAGCACCUGUACCAGACAACUCCAAUUGUAGACCUUCAUUCAUGAGCUCGAAGAACUCCCUUACUAUUGGCCUCCUCUCUGCUGAAAUAUGGGACAAACUGCCAAGUGAUUUUCGGCUUAAGGCGUCUGCCACAACAUUCGCCUUACCCGGAUGGUACUGGAUCUUGCAAUCAUAGUCACUGAGCAGUUCUACCCAUCUUCUCUGCCUCAAGUUCAAAUCUCUCUGACUCAGAAUGUACUGCAGGCUUUUAUGAUCUGUGAAGAUCUCACAUUUAACCCCAUAAAGGUAGUGCCUCCACAUCUUGAGUGCAUAGAUCACCGCUGCCAUCUCUAGGUCAUGUGUAGGGUAAUUCAACUCGUGCUUCUUUAGCUGCCUAGAAGCAUAAGCAAUCACCCUUUCAUUCUGCAUUAGCACACAACCCAGUCCCACACGGGACGCAUCACAAUAGACUGAGAAGUCUUCAUCACUAGAUGGCAGAGCUAACACUGGUGCUGAAGUCAACCUCUUCUUUAGCUCCUCAAAGCUCUCCUCACACUGGUCGGUCCAUGCAAACCUCUGGUUCUUCUUAGUCAGUCUGGUCAUGGGAGCUGCAAUCUUAGAGAAGUCUUGAACGAACCUCCUGUAGUAACCUGCUAAACCCAAGAAGCUCUUGAUCUCUGUCACUGUAGUGGGUCUAGGCCAGUUCGCUACAGCUUCCACUUUCUUGGGGUCUACCUCGAUUCCAUUUUCUGACACCACAUGCCCCAAGAAUGAAAUGCUCCUCAGCCAGAACUCACACUUGGAGAACUUGGCAUACAAUCCAUGUUCCCUCAAGGUCUGCAAAACCAACCUCAGAUGAUGGGCAUGCUCCUCUGCAUUCCUGGAAUACACUAAGAUAUUAUCUAUGAAGACAAUAACAAAGUGAUCCAGGUAUUGACUAAACACUCUGUUCAUGAGAUCCAUGAAUGUUGCAGGGGCAUUGGUUAACCCGAACGGCAUCACAAGGAACUCAUAAUGCCCAUAUCUGGUCCUGAAGGCUGUCUUCGGCACAUCCUCUUCUCUUAUUCUUAGCUGAUGGUACCCCGAUCUCAGAUCUAUUUUGGAGAAACAACCUGCUCCGGCUAGCUGGUCAAAUAGAUCAUCGAUCCUUGGCAACGAGUACUUAUUCUUGGUAGUGACCUUGUUCAACUGUCUGUAGUCGAUACAAAGUCUAAAGGAUCCAUCUUUCUUUUUCACAAAUAGCACUGGAGCACCCCAAGGUGAGGUACUCGGUCGGAUGAAUCCUCUAUCUACUAGCUCUUGCAACUGUUCUUUUAACUCUUUCAAUUCUGCUGGUGCCAUCCUGUAGGGAGGGAUAGAGAUCGGUCUGGUUCCAGGCAUCAACUAAAUUUCAAACUCUAUCUCCCUAGCAGGUGGUAAACCUGGCAGCUCGUCUGGGAAAACAUCUAAGAACUCACUGACCACGGGCACUGAGGCGGGCUCUCUAACAUGACUAUCCAGCUCCCUCACAUGAGCCAGAAAACCCUGACAACCCCUCCUGAGUAGCCUACGAGCCUGAAGGGCUGAUAUCAAACCUCUAGGUGUACUCCCCCUGUCUCCUCUGAAGACAACCUCUAACCCAUCCUGACAUCUGAACCUGACUACCUUGUCUCUGCAAUCCAAGGUAGCACCAUGGGUAGAUAGCCAAUCCAUCCCUAGAAUGACGUCAAAAUCUGUCAAGUCUAGAACCACAAGGUCGGCAAAAAGGCAUCUUCCCUCUAUAAAAACUGGACUACACUGGCAGACUGAAUCUGCCACUGACGGGUCACACUUGGGUCUACUGACCCAUAGGGGACACUCUAACCCAGAGACCAUCAAUCCCAAUCUCUCGACGGCCCUCGGAGCAAUGAAAGAAUGAGAUGCACCAGGGUCCAAUAAUGCAUACACAUCAGAACAACCAAUGAUGAGAUUACCUGACACCACGGUGUUGGAUGUGUUUGCCUCCUGUUGAGUUAUGGUGAAGAUCCGUGCUGGAGCUGACGGACCCUCACCCCUGAAACCCGCUGAAGAAGAGGCUGCCCUUCUUCCUCUGCCUCUGCCACUAGCCUGAGUCGCGGUUGGAGCUACUGGCUGUGCCACACUACCUGAAGCUGUCUGCUGAGACUGUGCCCCAAAGGCUGCCCUAGGACACUCCCUUGUGUGGCUUACCACACCUUGCACAUACUGCAUUAUCUGCACCAGAGCUUGAGCUACUACCUAAUCCCAGACCUGACUUAAUCUUGCUCCAGAACUUGUUCUUCUUAGACUUGGCCUUACCCCAUCUCUUACUGCCUGAACUGAGAGAAGAAAGGUCUAACUUUCCCCCACCUGGGGUCUUGGAACCAGAAGGCUGUGCCACUGACUGCUUGACUUUCCUUUCGAUGAUAGCACUAGCCUCCAUCCUCCGAGCCAUAUCCACUAUGGCAUGGAAACUCUCCCUCUCUGCUGACUGAAUCAAGGAGGAAUACCUGGAAUGGAGCCUCAUGAUAUACCUCCUUGACUUCCUCUCAUCUGUGUCCAGAUUCUGCCCAGCAUACGGCAACAGCUCCAAGAAUCUGUCUGUAUACUCAUCCACGCUCAUCUCAUCUGUCUGCCUCAACUGCUCGAACUCAAUCAUUUUCAGCUCCCUGGAACUGUCAGGGAAAGCCCAUCCUGCAAACUCAUUUGCAAACUCCUCCCAGGAUAGACUAUCCAACCUCGGGUUCACAUAGUUCUUAAACCACUCUCGGGCCUUCUUGCAUUUUAAUGUGAACCCAGCCAUCUGGAUGGCUCUACUGUCAUCAGCCCCUAUCUCAUCUGUAAUUGUCUUGACCCUCUCAAAGUACACAAACGGGUCAUCACCAGUUUCAAACUGGGGAGCACCCAACUUCAUGUAAUCGGUCAUCUUGACCUUGCUCCCACCAGAUGAGCUAGGCUUAGGCAUUUGGGUUUCUGGGACAGUAGGUGCUGCUGGUGGUGGAGGAGGUGCAGCAUCCCCUGGGGUAGGGUUUGCUGUACCUGGAUAGAAAGAUGGGGGCGGGUACAUGGGGUACUGUGGGUACGGUGGGUAGAAAGGUGGGUAUGGCAUCUGAGAGGGAUAAGGGUUAAAACUGGGGUAAUCCGAUGUACCUCCCAUCGAAUACCUGGGGUUAUGUGAAAAGGGUGGGUAGUAAGGUGGCUGAACAAAUCCCGAGGCCUGAGUGCCUCCUUGGGACUCUCCCAUUCCCUCUUCCGACAUACUUACUCCGAGACUACCAUCCCUCCUCUGAUCCACAUCCAUCUGAUCCCCCACAUCCUCUGACAUAUCCCCUUGCACUGUUCCCCUCACUGAUCUGCUUCUACCCAGAUCCAAAGACCUUCUAGGGUCUCUUACUGCUCUUUCUCUGUUGGACUUACUUGACAUUGCCCUAGGCAAUGCAGGAGGACGGGCAUCAGUGCCCUCGUCCUGGGGUGGUACUCCAGUCAAUCGUGCAUAUCGACGAGUUCCUCUUAUCCUGUUUACUGAAAAACAGCACACAUCACAUAAACAUUAGCAUCAAAUGGUUCAUGUGCAAACACAUGAACCCGCAUCGCAUACAUCACAUACAUAGCAUAUCAUUAAUGCACAUGCAUAAACUCAUGGCAUUUCACAUCAUCAAUCAAGACAGGACUCUACAUCCUAUCCUAGUGGACAUGAUUUUCCUAUUGUGCUUGACCUUCUAUAACAUCUAUGAGCCCGACACUCUAGGUCCGACCAUAUGAACCUAGGGCUCUGAUACCAAUUUAUAACGACCCAAAAAUCCGGACCGCUACCGGCGCUAGGAUCCAGGUCAGCAUAAGGCCGCCGGGACCCGUAGCAAGCCUAACAUCAUCCUAUAAACCUGUUUAAUCCCAUACAUGAUCAACAACAAACAUAAAAAUUUAAACUUUUCUUUCCAUUCAUUCAUUCUUUCAUUCAUUCACCAAACUCAACCUGUGUAUGCACUAUACAUAAACAUUAACUCCUCAGUGGAGUCUCAUCAUUUCCCCAAAGGGGUGACAUAACAUGUAUUGAGUUUGGUUCAUAUAAGCAUCAUUAAACAUUAAGAUCAUGUAUUAGAAGGGAUUAACAUAAUACUAUGGUCAAGCACAACUAUAAACUUUCAUAAGCAUUAUUACAUGACAUUCUAUAUCAUACUUUUACAUGACUGUACUCAACAUAACAUAACAACAUUUAUCAUGUCCACUCUAGCUAUUACAUGACCAUGACUUCAUUACUCUUGCUGACCUCCUGGUCUACCCUGUACCUGCAAACCUGGGGGUUAAGGGAGGGGGUGAGCUACUAGAGCCCAGUGAGCAGAAUAGUAAAAACAUAUAUUAACAUUCAUGCUUUCAUGAAAUGAGUCACAUCACAGACAAUUCACAUCAAGGGUGAACCUAUCACCAAUUAGUCCCAGCAUCAUAUCCGUGCCAGGCCGUAGAAUGGGGUCCUGGCCUUCCUGUCAUAUCAUAACAUUACUUACCAUUUCCCCAGGGCCUCAUCUGGCACCUGCUCUUCGCAUUCCAUAUCGUGCCGGGCCGUAGAAUGGGGUCCUGGUCUUUCAUUCCGUGCCAGGCCAUAGAAUGGGGUCCUGGUCUUUCCUCAGAGACUAUUUGGAUCAUACAGCAUUCACCCACAUCCACAAUAAAGAAUGCAGUGCAACAUAUUCGUGGAUUCUAAUGCAACAACCUAUUAUAUCACAUGGCAUUCGUGAUGCAUGAAUCAUGCUGAAUCAUUUAUUAUUUAUUUUAAAACGUAAAGAGUUAUUCCACUCACCUCUGGUUAGCUCAGACCAGACAUUGGGGCAGCUGACUCACUGCUGGGGUCCUCGGUUCCUCGGGUCCGAACCUACACAGG